rnacentral:rRNA from 1 species
CCUACGUGUGGCAGCAGUGGGGAAUAUUGGGCAAUGGGCGCAAGCCUGACCCAGCAACGCCGCGUGAAGGAAGAAGGCUUUAGGGUUGUAAACUUCUUUUCUCAGAGACGAAGCAAGUGACGGUACCUGAGGAAUAAGCCACGGCUAACUACGUGCCAGCAGCCGCGGUAAUACGGAGGGAGCAAGCGUUAGACGGAUUUACUGGGUGUACAGGGAGUGUAGGCGGGACUGCAAGUCAGAUGUGAAAACCACGGGCUAAACCUGUGGCCUGCAUUUGAAACUGUAGUUCUUGAGUACUGGAGAGGCAGACGGAAUUCCUAGUGGAGCGGUGAAAUGCGUAGAUAUUAGGAGGAACACCAGUGGCGAAGGCGGUCUGCUGGACAGCAACUGACGCUGAGGCGCGAAAGCGUGGGGAGCAAACAGGAUUAGAUACCCCUGUAGUC